rnacentral:lncRNA from 1 species
GUUGAGUGGUGGUCCUGGUAUUAUCACAGGUUAGGAGAAGCAAAAGCCUCCCCAGGUCUUUUGGGGGAGCAAACCCAGCACAUUUCUGCUUUGCCUGGGCACCUCCCUGUCUAGAACCCAGUGUGUGGCAGCAAAAUCAUAAUCCCAGGUUAAGAGAAGGAUGAAACUCAACAUGAAAUGGAAGCUUUUAAAAUUCAUUUACACAUCUCUCUCGAGCACCGUAAUAUGUCAGAUACUGUUCUAUCAGCAGCUGGGAGACAGCAGCAAAUGAGACAAGAUCCCUGGCCUCAGGUAGCUGCCUCUCCAGUGGAAAAGCGGAUCAUGUACAAAUAGUGGCGGACCCAGAUGGAGUGAAGGAGCAGGCUGUGUGGACAACCAAGAGAAAAGUGUCCUUGGGAGAGGGAACAGCAAGUGCAAUUGCCUGAAGAUAAAGGAAAAGGGGAGAAGGGCAGGAAAGGACAGGGAAUGGAGGGCUGGCUCUUGCCAGAAAUGGCAUUCAUUGCAGACUUUGCUUGGUAUAAAAUGGAAAGCCACUGAGGCUUUGGAGUCCAUGAAUUUCUUUUGAGCCUCUAUUUUCAAACUUUUAUAUGCUACAGUAAGUAUCUCUUGGCCGAGGAUUCAUGUAUUGUAGUGGGAUUGCUAGCACUAAUACUCCAGGAAGAAGCAGCCAGUAUAACUUUAAUCCUGCUGGCCACACGCCCAGGAAUACUCAGCCAAUGUCCUGAAUGGCUCCAAGCCACUCUCCUUAAGAACUUACAGCUAUGGCUCAGAGUUGUCUCUGGACAGAACAAGACUAUCCCAGGACUGACACUGAUGGGGUAUCUGCUGAGUGCCAUCUGGGCAUCUUGCCAGAGAGAAAGAUGAGCCCAUGCCCAUCAGGCCUGUACUGUCUAGCGUCAUUUUAGCCAGUAUGGUAGCAGCUCUGAAGCACUUACAAUGCCAUCAGUAAGAAAAUACACACAUUUCUGUGUAAUAAGAAUUGUAAUGCAUUCCGCUGUCUUGUAUUUAAAAAAAUAAAAUCAAUAAGAAAUUGUUAAAAAUUAAAUUAAAUUAAAAGAAGAAAAAGAAAAUAAACACAUUUCUG